rnacentral:rRNA from 1 species
GUGUCAGCAGCCGCGGUAAGACAGAGGGUGCAAACGUUGCUCGGAAUUACUGGGCGUAAAGCGCGUGUAGGCGGUGCCGCACGUCCGGUGUGAAAGCCCGGGGCUCAACCCCGGAAGCGCACUGGAAACGACGGCGCUGGAGUCCUGAAGAGGAGGGCGGAAUUCCCGGUGUAGAGGUGAAAUUCGUAGAUAUCGGGAGGAACACCAGUGGCGAAGGCGGCUCUCUGGACAGGAACUGACGCUGAGACGCGAAAGCGUGGGUAGCAAACAGGAUUAGAAACCCUGGUAGUCC